GAGUUUGAUCCUGGCUCAGAUUGAACGCUGGCGGCAGGCCUAACACAUGCAAGUCGAGCGGAUGACGGGAGCUUGCUCCUUGAUUCAGCGGCGGACGGGUGAGUAAUGCCUAGGAAUCUGCCUGGUAGUGGGGGACAACGUUUCGAAAGGAACGCUAAUACCGCAUACGUCCUACGGAGAAAGCAGGGGACCUUCGGGCCUUGCGCUUAUCAGAUGAGCCUAGGUCGGAUUAGCUAGUUGGUGGGGUAAUGGCUCACCAAGGCGACGAUCCGUAACUGGUCUGAGAGGAUGAUCAGUCACACUGGAACUGAGACACGGUCCAGACUCCUACGGGAGGCAGCAGUGGGGAAUAGUUGGACAAUGGGCGAAAGCCUGAUCCAGCCAUGCCGCGUGUGUGAAGAAGGUCUUCGGAUUGUAAAGCACUUUAAGUUGGGAGGAAGGGCAGUAAGUUAAUACCUUG
rnacentral:rRNA from 1 species